rnacentral:lncRNA from 1 species
AUCAUUUGCAUGUAUAGAUACAUGUGCAUAAAUUGAUAAUAAGAAGAUAGGUCACAUAUAUCUCUGGAGUUAAGGCUGCAUAUCCCCCUCCAUUUUGAACCAAUUUUUUCACCUUAUAAGGUAGGGGCCAAGACAAACCCAUAAAAACCAUGCCCAUAUAGAAAAAAGUUUAAAAAACACAUUUCUGAGCUCGGUCACAAUAAGAACCAUAAGAAACGAACCGAUUGAAAUUGAAUUACUACUUCUUAGGAAACGAAAAUUUGUGAAUGCGAAUACAUAUAGGUGUGAAAGUGGCAGGAAAUUCUAGUAAGUAAGCGAAAUUUAAAAAUCUAAGGUCAGUCAAACCCUAAUUAAUGAUAACACUCACCGGAGGGAAGGGGGAACUGCGAUACCGGACUGAAUUUUUACUCCCACAAUCAGCUGUCAGAAGCGUCGCACUCGCAUUAAAAAGACAGCCAGAG